rnacentral:ncRNA from 2 species
CGCUUAUCAAGAGCGACCGAGGGAACAGGCCCUAUGACGUCCGGCAACCUCCUUGUAAAAUAAAGGAACGGUGCCAAAUCCUGCAGAAUGAAUGGCUUUCAUUCUGAAAGAUAAGUC